rnacentral:lncRNA from 1 species
UGCUCAAUCAUGUAUAAUAUAUGAUCAGUGAUUGAUGCUUCUUCUCACAUACAGACAUUGACCAUUGUAUAGGAGAUUUUAUGUCCCUCGGCAUCCUCAGAGAUGUCGAAAGACUCAUUCAACAAUUGAAUCAUGUCCUCAAAUUACACAUCUUCAAACCUAUGGCUAAGUUCAUCAUUCAUGGCCAUCCUCAUGAUGCAACGUAC